rnacentral:rRNA from 1 species
AUUGAACGCUGGCGGCAGGCUUAACACAUGCAAGUCGAACGAGUGGCGGACGGGUGAGUAAUGCUUGGGAAUCUAGCUUAUGGAGAGGGAUAACUACGGGUAACGGUAGCUAAUACCGCAUAACAUCAGAUGAACCCAUAUGGGAUUAGCUGGUAGGUGAGGUAACGGCUCACCUAGGCGACGAUCCCUAUCUGGUCGUAGAGGAUGAUCAGCAACACUGGGACGGAGACACGGCCCAGACGACUACGGGAGGCAGCAGUGGGGAAUAUUGCACAAUGGGCGUAAGCCUGACGCAGCUACUCCGCGUGUAUGAAGAAGGCCUUAGGGUUGUAAAGUACUGUCAGUCGGGAGGCGUUAACGACAGAAGAAGCACCGGCUAACUCCGUGCCAGUAGCGGCGGUAAUAC